rnacentral:rRNA from 1 species
CAGUCGCCGCGGUAAUACGGAGGGGGCUAGCGUUGUUCGGAAUUACUGGGCGUAAAGCGCACGCAGGCGGUUUGUUAAGUCAGAUGUGAAAUCCCCGAGCUUAACUUGGGAACUGCAUUUGAAACUGGCAAGCUAGAGUCUUGUAGAGGGGGGUAGAAUUCCAGGUGUAGCGGUGAGAUGCGUAGAGAUCUGGAGGAAUACCGGUGGCGAAGGCGGCCCCCUGGACAAAGACUGACGCUCAGGUGCGAAAGCGUGGGGAGCAAACAGGAUUAGAUACCCCAGUAGUCCCUGUCUCUUAUAC